GUGCUCACUUCGGCAGCACAUGUACUAAAAUUGGAACGAUACAGAGAAUAUUAGCAUGGCCCCUGCGCAAGGAUGACACGCAAAUUUGUGAAGCGUUCCAUAUUUUU
rnacentral:snRNA from 1 species